rnacentral:rRNA from 1 species
CCAACACUGGGACUGAGACACUGCCCAGACUCCUACGGGAGGCUGCAGUCGAGAAUCUUUCGCAAUGGGCGCAAGCCUGACGAAGCGACGCCGUGUGAGCGAAGAAGGCCUUAGGGUUGUAAAGCUCUUUCGCUUGGGAACAAGAGAGAUGGGUUAAUACCCAUUGAUUUGAGGGUACUAGGUAAAGAAGCACCGGCUAACUCC